rnacentral:rRNA from 1 species
AUUGAACGCUGGCGGCAUGCCUUACACAUGCAAGUCGAACGGUAACGCGGGGCAACCUGGCGACGAGUGGCGAACGGGUGAGUAACGCAUCGGAACGGGCCCAAUAGUGGGGGAUAGCCCGGCGAAAGCCGGCUUAAUACCGCAUACGACCUACGGGUGCAAGCAGGGGAUCGCAAGAACUUGCGCCAAUGGAGCGGCCGAUGUCAGAUUAGGUUGUUGGUGGGGUAAAAGCCCACCAAGCCGACGAUAUGUAGCUGGUCUGAGAGGACGACCAGCCACACUGGGACUGAGACACGGCCCAGACUCCUACGGGAGGCAGCAGUGGGGAAUUUUGGACAAUGGGCGCAAGCCUGAUCCAGCCAUGCCGCGUGCGGGAUGAAGGCCUUCGGGUUGUAAACCGCUUUUGUUAGGGAAGAAAUCUUUUGAGCUAAUACCUCGGAAGGAUGACGGUACCUAAAGAAUAAGCACCGGCUAACUACGUGCCAGCCGCCGCCGUAA